UAUGACCAUAUCACUUUGUAAAACCAGUUCUCAUAUGAUCACUGAAGUUAAGCAACACCAAGCCUGGUCAGUAUCAAGAUGGGUGACCAUUUGGGAAUACUAGGUACUGUAAG